UACAGAGGUCUCAAGCGUUGUUCGGAUUCAUUGGGCGUAAAGGGUGCGUAGGUGGCGCCGUAAGUCAGGUGUGAAAUCUCGGGGCUUAACUCCGAAACUGCAUUUGAUACUGCGGUGCUUGAGGACUGGAGAGGAGACUGGAAUUUACGGUGUAGCGGUGAAAUGCGUAGAUAUCGUAAGGAAGACCAGUGGCGAAGGCGGGUCUCUGGACAGUUCCUGACACUGAGGCACGAAGGCCAGGGGAGCAAACGGG
rnacentral:rRNA from 1 species